UGGAGGUGAUAAUGGAGGGACAGCUUCCUAACUGCAAAGGUCUCAUCAAGUCUUUUUUCAAAAUGCAGAUCUCUUCAGGUAUCCUGGCUUUUCAGUAUGGGGUAAAUACAG